GAUUUCUGGCUUGGCGCGCUUGGCCCGCCGCGGUUACGCGUGUGAGUGCCGAGCUGCGCCUGCCAUCCUUCUAGUGAACUACUGUGCCCUUCAUUGGGUGUGGUAGGUAGCUAGAUCUUUUACUUUGAAAAAAUUAGAGUGUUUAAAGCAGGCGUUUGCUAUGAAUACAUUAGCAUGGAAUAAUAACUUAGGACUUCGGUUCUAUUUUGUUGGUUUCUAGGACUGAAGUAAUGAUUGAUAGGGAUAGUUGGGGGUGCUAGUAUUCAGCGGCCAGAGGUGAAAUUCUCGGAUUCGCUGAAGACUAACUUAUGCGAAAGCAUU
rnacentral:rRNA from 3 species